UAGUAAGAGUGCAGAAAACAAGAAAACUUGUGCAAGGGAUGUUUUCCUGUCUGCCUUUUCGACUCCUAGGGUCAAGAGGGAGACUUCAUCCUUUUCCAUCUGUGGUUCUCUUAAUUUUCCAAGGAUGGCAGUAGCUGGGGCAAAGCCCACCAUUUUUGCUCCUCUAGUGCGUGAGAAAGAUGGAGGAAAAAGCACAUUCUGUCUUAAUGAGGUCCAAAAGUGGAACAGCCGGAGCAGUAUCUGGUCACAUAGGAUGAAACGUAAAGCUGCAGUUUCUUGGCAGAGUUAUAACUUAUAAGUGGCAAGGUACAUUGGGGUUUGUUGGAGUUGCUGAUAGUAAUGAAUCAAAGGCUGAAGCUGAUCAUUAGCUUGCCAUUAGGCAGCAGUCACAACCUUGCUGCAGAAUAAAAUUGGCAGUGGUCGCUGUUGAUUUGAAUGCUAGACUUUGAUCAUUUCAGGAAGGCCUUGUGCAACAGUCAAGUAGUUGAUUCAGGAGUAAUAUGCUGCAAAAAAUGCAUUUUGAAGUAGUGCGAUGAUAAUACCAAGCAACUUUGUUUAGUUGGUUUUCUAGUACCCGAUUAGAAAAUCGAGUGAGUUGUUUUAUGAACUAUUCCUUUUGUGAGGAUAGUUUUCUUUGAGCUUGUCUGUUCGCUCGGUUGUUUAAUUGGAGUGACAUGAAGAUUUUGGUGAUAAUGGUUGCCUUACCGUAUAUGUACGGUUGCCUUUUAGUCUUUUCAUAUAUAACCAAAAAAUAACUUUUUUAUUUUAAUC
rnacentral:misc_RNA from 1 species